rnacentral:rRNA from 1 species
AACGACUCUCGGCAACGGAUAUCUCGGCUCUCGCAUCGAUGAAGAACGUAGCGAAAUGCGAUACUUGGUGUGAAUUGCAGAAUCCCGUGAACCAUCGAGUUUUUGAACGCAAGUUGCGCCCGAAGGUUUUGGCUAAGGGCACGUCUGCCUGGGCG